GCGGCGNNUGANCGGCAAAAGCUCAAAUUUGAAAUCUGGCUCUUUCAGAGUCCGAGUUGUAAUUUGAAGAAGGUAUCUUUGGGUCUGGCUCUURUCUAUGUUUCUUGGAACAGAACGUCACAGAGGGUGAGAAUCCCGUGCGAUGAGAUGAUCCAGGCCUAUGUAAAGUUCCUUYGAAGAGUCGAGUUGUUUGGGAAUGCAGCUCUAAGUGGGUGGUAAAUUCCAUCUAAAGCUAAAUAUUGGCGAGAGACCGAUAGCGAACAAGUACAGUGAUGGAAAGAUGAAAAGAACUUUGAAAAGAGAGUGAAAAAGUACGUGAAAUUGUUGAAAGGGAAGGGCUUGAGAUCAGACUUGGUAUUUUGUAUGUUACUUCUUCGGGGGUGGCCUCUACAGUUUAUCGGGCCAGCAUCAGUUUGGGCGGUAGGAGAAUUGCGUUGGAAUGUGGCACGGCUUCGGUUGUGUGUUAUAGCCNNNNNCGAUACUGCCAGCCUAGACUGAGGACUGCGGUU
rnacentral:rRNA from 1 species